CAUAGAUUUGGGUAGGGGGGGAUAGGGAAUGUCCAAACUCACACUGGCCCAAAUUAGGAUGCCUAACACCAACUUUAUAUAAUUUCAUUCUGAAUUCUGAAAAUAAAACUCAGCCUAUUUCUCUCAAAUGUUCAUUUGUCAUGCUGCAACAAGAUCCGUAAUUAUCAAGCGACUGUAAUUUUGCAUAGCUGAGCAAAAGUCUUCAUCUGUCUAUAAAUGUGUCAUCUAAUAUUUGAAAGAUUCAGUACAGUGCAACUGGAGUCAAAUUAAUGUGGUUGGAUGCUGCACAAAGUGAGGUACAAUGACAUUAUCUAGGUUUGUCACAACCAAUUGAAAGGUAUUACUUUAGCUAGACUAAAGUAUUGACAUGACAAUUUAAAAACGUUUUAAAAAUUACAGCAUAGGGUUGUCCCCUGCCUCCUUUAAAUCUGUCUCUAAUAAACAGCAUGUGAGAUUAUUAUGGUCUGUUUCUUAGGAGAAAAAUGCAUAAGAAGGCACUUGAGCAACGACCUAAAUUUGAUCUUUAAUUAACCUUAUUGCUGUUGAGUACAAACGUUUGAGAUUUUCCCAACAUGGUUGUAUUAAGGCAGUUUACAUUUCAAGAUAAUAAAAUAGCUGGCACUUCAAGGACAGAACUGGUAUUGUCCUGCUCAGAGGCACAUGAUACAAAUAUAAGGCAGACCAGAGCCAGUUGUAACUAGAACGAGUAGAUGACUUUAUUCCAUGGAAACGGUAACAUACUGUCUUAUAAAUUCAGAAUGUGCACAUACCCACCCUUGAGCACACAUCACUCACAUGAGUGACCAAACCCGGUGAACAGAGGAAGAGGCAGGAAGUUCCUUCUUUCACUUCCAGUCAUGCUGCAUGUAAGUAUCUGUCUGCAGGGUGGAGUUAUGGAGCAGUGUCGACUGCGGUCAGAACAGGAUAUCAACCGCUGUCUGCGUGUAGACGGAGGGAAGAAAUCGAGAAGGGAGGAGGUGAAGGAGAACGAGAUUGGGGAAUCAGUGGUUUGAAACCAUGGAAAUGUACAAAGUCAAAGUAUUAAGAGCAGUUGCUGUAAAUGUAAAAACAAACACAGCUCAAUAAUAUUGUUUAUUAGACCUAGGCAAAAGGCAAUAAUUUCAGUUUCAGAACAAUCAAUUUAACACAUGUAAUGUUCCAUUUAACAGAUAAUUUCUAGUUCAAUUAAUUUUUUUUAUUCUAAUUUUUAAACCAACAAGACCACCAGUUAACAUAAUAAUAACCCCCCACUCCACUCCUUUUUCAAGAGUUGAUCUUUAAGUGGGGAAAUGAUACAAUCAAUGAAAUCAGCUUCAGUUGCAUCAACUACCUGUCAUCUGGACUGGUGGCUCUGGAAUAAACUAGCUGCAUCCUAAAAAUAAUGUGGCAUUUACUGAUUUUGCCUGGUUCAGCAAAAUGUACUUCACAGAACAAAUUUGCGUACUUUGAAAAAAUGGUCAAUACAUGCAUGUGAAUGUUAAAGGGUGUAAGCAUGAGACAAAUUAUGUCUAUCAAUGUGUGUGUGUGUGUGUGUGUGUGUGUGUGUGUGUGUGUGUGUGUGUGUGUGUGUGUGUGUGUUGAAUUGCAGUGGGCAGCUUGUGGUGGAACAGAAGGUCUCUGCAUGGUGGGCAGUGUGGGCGGACUUCGGGAAUCACCGUGAAAAACAAUAACGAGCCAAGGACACUUCCCAAGCAGGGGUUCAAAGAUAUGGAUGAACUGCUGAACAUUCGGCAGAACACUCCUCAAAAUCUUCUACCAGAUUUUGAUUAUUCAGAUGUUUUGCUGAACGUUGUAUUUGGUGGAGCAGCGGUACUCAUCAAACCCGGCGUGCUGGUGAAGCUCAGGCAGCGUGGAUUUCGAAUGACCUACCAUCAUCCCAUUCGUCCAUCUGUCGAAUCUCCACUCUCUACCCAACAGGUCAAGUCAAGUCACCUUUAUUUAUAUAGCACCUUAAACAAAAAAGAUUGUGUCAAAGCAACUGAACAACUUUAAUUAGGAAAACAGUGUGUCAAUAAUGCAAAAUGACAGUUAAAGGCAGUUCAUCAUUGAAUUCAGUGAUGUCAUCAUCUCAGUUCUGUUUAAGUAGUAUCUUCGCAAUCAUUUGCAAUCAAGUCAACAAUAUCACUGUAAAUUAAGUGUCCACAACUAAGCAACCCAGAGGCGACAGCGGCAAGGAACCAAAACUCCAUCGGUGACAGAAUGGAGGAAAAUCCUUGGGAGAGACCAGGCUCAGUCAAGGGGCCAGUUUUCUUCUGACCAGACGAAACCAGCAGUUCAAUUCCAGGUUGCAGCGAAGUCAAAUUGUGCACAAUAAUUCCUCUGAUCUGGAUACAGACCGGAUCAAGUGGCUACGGUGACCACGGAUUAAGAGUGAAACAGACUAAUAUUAGCGUAUAUGCCAUUCUUCUAAUGAUGUAGCAAGUACAUCAGCUGUUAUGGGAAGUGUUCCCAGUUCUGGUUCACCUAAUUAAUGCAGCCUAAAAAUCCUUUAAUGGAUUUGGAUAUUAGAAUCGUAGUCUUAACAAGCUGGACCUUAGCACACUCAAAACUGUGGAAGUGAUUGUUGACCCCCAAUCACCAUCACGUACAGCACUUCAGUGACAGUGGAAACAUUCAGGUUCCUGGCCAUCAUUAUCUCUCAGGACUUGAAGUAUGACAAUAACAUUAAGUCAUUUCACAUUGUGAAAAAGGCCCAGCAGAGGUUGUACUUCCUAUGCUAGAUGAGGAGUUCAACAUGCCAAAGGAGCUGCUGAACAGUUCUAAAUACAUUGCUUCAAAGCAACUGAACAACAUUCAUUAGGAAAACAGUGUCUCAAUAAUGCAAAAUGAUAGUUAAAUGCAGUUCAUCAUUGAAUUCAGUUAUGUCAUCUCUGUUCAGUUUAAAUAGUGCCUGUGCAUUUAUUUGCAAUCAAGUCAAUGAUAUCGCUGUAGAUGAAGUGACCCCAACUAAGCAAGCCAGAGGCGACAGCGGCGACAGCGGCAUAGAACCGAAACACCAUCGGUGACAGAAUGGAGAAAAAAACCUUGGGAGAAACCAGGCUCAGUUGGGGCCAGUUCUCCUCUGACCAGACGAAACCAGUAGUUCAAUUCCAGGCUGCAGCAAAGUCAGAUUGUGCAGAAGAAUCAUCUGUUUCCUGUGGUCUUGUCCUGUUGCUCCUCUGAGACAAGGUCUUUACAGGGGAUCUGUAUCUGGGGAUCUAGUUGUCCUGGUCUAUGCUGUCUUUCAGGAAAGUAAAGGUUUAUGUGUAAACAUGCCUGGGAAUAAAGCUCAUUAAUAGUAGUUUUCAACUAUGUUCCUGGGCCCCCUUAACUGUGCACAUUUUAUAUGUCUCUCUAAGCAAAAACACCUUGUUCAGGUCAUCCACUCAUUAGGAGAGCCAUAAUAUUGGUGUGUCACAAUGGGCAGUUGUGGCGAGUGGGGCGGGGCCGAGAGGCGUGGGAACGAGGAGUGAGGCCAGGUGUAGUGAUUGAAGAUGAGCUGCACCUGCGCCCCACCGCCAGUAUCGAGUCCCACGUAGGAGAUGGAAGGAUAUAAAACUGGAGCGACGACCGUGAAGGACGAGAGAGGACCAGGCCUGGGAUAUUAUUUUAUGUGUUUGCUUUUAUUUGUGCGCGUCAGUCGCCGUGAGGGGCUGACGCGCUGUUGUGUUUAUUUUUGAAUAUUAUUAAAAUGCUUUUUGAUUGUGCGCUGGUUCCCGCCUCCUUCUUCCCGAUGAGUAUGGAGUGAAUAUUGUUACAGCAGUGUUCUAUGGUCCAGGUAAAAGGUUGAGUACCAUUGGUUUAUGCAAUUGAACCACUAUUACUUAUAUCCAAUACACCCACAAUGGUUAAUCAAUGUCUUCAGGAGACAGGUUAAAGCUAAACUCUGCAGGUGCAGGAUUAGACAUGCCAGAUUUUGACCAGGCCUACAGUGAUCCCAUUCAUUGUCCAAAAAAAAAAAAAAAAAAAAAGAGAUGAAUCUGUGUACUGUCAGCGAUGUAACAGUGUCUGGUCUGUGUUCCCUAGGUGCCCACUAGUGGUCUUACUUCCCCAUAAAACCACCCCACUGCAGGCACUACAUUUCCCACACGCCUUGUCAGUUUCAUCACUGUUAAUUGCACACACUGUAAUUGCACUCAGCUGUCCCCACUUUCCCCAUUUACACCUGUACAUAUAUACCCGGUUUGUUUCUAUCAGUUUCAUGGAGUCCUUGUUUUAUUUCACCCUGCUUUCUCGUGUUCCCUAGUGUUUUUCUUGUUUCGGACUGCUUUUGUUUAUAUUGACCUCUUGCCUGUAUGGACUACGAUUUUUGGAUUCUCCUAAGAAACACUGCAAUUGGAUCUCUCUGUUUGUGUGUAAGUUUGUGACAGAAGGACUCCAGCAUGGAGGUGCAGAGGGGGAGGUUCUAGAACCUAAUCAGCCUCCGUCAAAAGGGGAGUGAAGUGGGUGGUCUAGCUCAGAUCUUUUGGACGAUGGCAGUAGGGCUGGGGUAUAAUGAUAAUGCACUUAAAGACUUAUUCAACACCUGCCUGGAUGACCCUGUGCCUGAGCGGGAUAUGACGGGGCUGGAGAUCCUGGACUUCUGAGGGUUCACCAGUUACCUACACCAUCAUUCAAAAUGGGAUACACUGACCACAUCCGACUCUCCAGACACGAUGGCCGACUCUAUGCCGCUGUCUCCAGAAAAGAUGGCCGCCAGCCCAGAACCACUGCCCAAGAUGGCCUUCCACCCAGCGCCACUGCACAAGAUGGCAGCCACAGUGAACUCUCCAGAGCAAGGUCCCCGUUGACCCUCCAGAGUCGAGUCAGUCCCCCGAUGUCACCUUACUCAUGGGUGAGUCUUCUAGUUAGCUCCUAUCAAUUAAAAAAUGCUGCUUGAUAUACAG